rnacentral:rRNA from 1 species
AACAGCGGAAAGUGCUUGCACUUUCCAGUAAGUGGCGAACGGGUGAGUAACACGUGAAUAACCUACCUCAAAGUCUGGGAUAACCAUUGGAAACAGUGACUAAUACCGGAUAAAACCCAAGUGCACAUGCACUAAGGUUAAAAGCUGCGUUUGCAGCGCUUUAAGAUGGAUUCGCGGUGCAUUAGUUAGUUGGUGAGGUAAAGGCUCACCAAGACGAUGAUGCAUAGCCGAGUUGAGAGACUGACCGGCCACAUUGGGACUGAGACACGGCCCAAACUCCUACGGGAGGCUGCAGUAGGGAAUCUUCCACAAUGGGCGCAAGCCUGAUGGAGCAACGCCGCGUGUGUGAUGAAGGCUUUCGGGUCGUAAAGCACUGUUGUAUGGGAAGAACGGGUUUAAGAGGAAAUGCUUAAACAGUGACGGUACCAUACCAGAAAGGGACGGCUAAAUACGUGCCAGCAGCCGCGGUAAUACGUAUGUCCCGAGCGUUAUCCGGAUUUAUUGGGCGUAAAGCGAGCGCAGACGGUUGCUUAAGUCUGAAGUGAAAGCCCACAGCUCAACUGUGGAAUGGCUUUGGAAACUGGGCAACUUGAGUGCAGUAGAGGUAAGUGGAACUCCAUGUGUAGCGGUGGAAUGCGUAGAUAUAUGGAAGAACACCAGUGGCGAAGGCGGCUUACUGGACUGCAACUGACGUUGAGGCUCGAAAGUGUGGGUAGCAAACAGGAUUAGAUACCCUGGUAGUCCACACCGUAAACGAUGGAUACUAGUUGUUAGAGGGUUUCCGCCCUUUAGUGACGAAGCAAACGCAUUAGGUAUCCCGCCUGGGGAGUACGACCGCAAGGUUGAAACUCAAAGGAAUUGACGGGGACCCGCACAAGCG